UUGAAAUGCAGAGAAGAAUCUGCAACGAACACAAUUCUCCUACCUCGGCGUCUUCCGGCCACCUGACAACAAAAAGGAAAUUAGGGACACAGACCUAAUUACAUCUAAUGACAGUCAGUGGUAAUACUACCCUUAAAGAGACGUUUGGGAACUUUGGCGACUAUAUUGGAUACAAAGCUGGUUGGAGAUGGUAACCAUGGAAACUAUGUAUGCCUCAUUCGCUAUCACCACUUCAGCUUCAGGUAAUGAUUAAACUAUACUGAACAAAAAUAUAAACACAACAUGGAACAAUUUCCACGAUUUUACUGAGUUACAGUUCACAUAAGGAAAUCAGUCAAUUGAAAUGAAUUCAUUAAGCCCUAAUCUAUGGAUUUCACAUGACUGGGCAGGGGCGCAGCCAUGGCUGGGCCUGGGGGGGCAUAGGCCCACCCUCUGGGGAGCCAGGCACAGCCAAUCAGAAUAUUUUUUUUCCCAACAAAAGGGGUUUACAACAGACAGAAAUACUCCUCAGUUUCAUCAGCUGUUUGGGUGGCUGGUCUCGAACGAUCCUGCAGAUGAAGAAGCCGGAUGUGGAGGUCCUGGGCUGGUGUGGUUACAUGUGGUCUGCGGUUGUGAGGCCGGUUGGACGUACUGCCAAAUGAUCUAAAACAACGUUGGCGGUGGCUUAUGGGAGAGAACAUUAUUUUUCUCUGGCAACUGUUCUGAUGGAUAUUCCUGCAGUCAGCAUGCCAAUUGAACUCUCUCUCAAAACUUGAGACAUCUGUGACAAAACUGCAGUGUGGCCUUUUAUUUUCCCCAGCACAAGGUGCACCUGUGUAAUUAUCAUGCUGUUUAAUCAGCUUCUUGAUAUGCCACAUCUGUCAGGUGGAUGGAUUAUCUUCGCAAAGGAGAAAUGCUCACUAACAGGGAUGUAAACAAAUUUGUGCACAAAAUUGGAGAAAUAAGCUUUUUGUGCGUAUGGACACCAAAACAGUUGUGAAGAAGGCACAACCAAACCUAUUCACCCUCAGGAGACUGAAAAGAUUUAGCAUGGGUCCUCAGAUCCUCAAAAGGUUUUACAGCUGCACCAUCGAGAGCAUCCUGACGGGUUGCAUUACUGCCUGGUAUGGCAACUGCUCGGCCUCCAACCGCAUGGACAAGUACAUCACCGGGACCAAGCUUCCUGCCAUCCAGAACCUCUAUACCAGGCGGUGUCAGAGGAAGGCCCUAAAAAUUGUCAAAGACUCCUGCCACCCUAGUCAUAGACUGUUUUCUCUACUACAGUACUGCAUGGCAAGAUACCGGAGCGCCAAGUCAAGGUCCAAGAGGCUUCUAACCAGCUUCUACCCCCUAGCCUAGUGGUUAGAGUGUUGGGCCAGUAACCGAAAGGUUGCUGGAUCAAAUCCCAGAGCUGACAAGGUACAAAUCUGUCAUUCUGCUCCUGAGAAAGGCAGUUAACCCACUGUUCCCCAGGCUCUGAAGAUGUGGAUGUCGAUUAUGGCAGCCCCCUGCACCUCUCUGAUUCAUAGGGGUUGGGUUAAAUGACACAUUUCAGUUGAAUGCAUUCAGUUGUACAACUGACUAGGGAUCCAACAUAAGACUACUGAACAUCUAAAUAUCUAAUACCCAGACUAAUUGCAUUGCCUCCCCCUCUACAAUGCUGCUACUCUGUUAUUAUUUAUGCGUAGUCACUUUAAAAACUUUACCUACAUGUACAUAUCACCCCGCACAUUGACUCUGUACCAGUACCCCCUAGAUAUAGCCUCUCUAUUGUUAUUUUACUGCUGCUCUUUAAUUAUUUGUUACUUUUGUCUCUUUUUUUGUAUUUUCUUAACUGCAUUGUUGGUUAAGGGCUUCUAAGUAAGCAUUUCACUGUAAGGUGAAAUGUUGUAUUCCUGUUGUAUU